UACAUCCAUGGUCCAGUGUAAUACCUUCUAUUUGGUUAUUUACAGCAAAGAUUAACAUGUACCCUGUGCAAGGAUGACAUGCAAAUUCGUGAAGCAUUCCAUAUUUGG